GCUCCAUGCUCAACACCGUGCGCACGGCACUGUGUUGAUUUUUUGUGGUAUAAAAUGAGGCUGGAUGCGCUACUUUUGGUCAGAAGAAGAAAGUGAUCAGUGCUGUAAAAAAUAAACUUUAGUUGCAAAACGAGAAUUUCCAAAAAGCUCCAACAAAAUGCCGUGCAAAGGAUGCGAUCCAAACUGCAAAACCUGCUCAAAGAACUGCUGCCAGGGAUGCCAGUGCGACUCAACCACUAAAUGCCCAUGCAAAUGCGGAGAGAAUGGAUGCUGCAAAAAGGAAUAAACUCCCUGUUAGAGAAUAAAACAUCCGGCAUUUUCCUGCAAUCAUUUGUUUUAUUUCUUUUUAUCCGAUGAAUUUUGGUUAAAAUGUACUUUGCCGAAUAAUUACAUAUUACAUAACUCUAAGACUAAUUAAUAUUGUUGAUAAAAUUAAUAAUAAUAAAAAACUCUAAUCAAA